UGCAUAGCUCAGUUGGUUAGAGUAUGGUGCUGAUAACACCGAAGUUGCAGGUUUGAUUCCCAUAUGGAACAG
rnacentral:tRNA from 1 species